GUGUGUGUGUGUGUGUGUGUGUGUGUGUGUGUGUGUGUGUGUGUGUGUGUGUGUGUGUGUGUGUGUGUGAACCAGUUGUUAAUUGCUGUCCUACGACUUUCUGCCUCUCUGUCCUGUUUGCUCCGGUUGAAAGACACCCAAAACCACACCCCCGUCACGUGGUCUCACACACACACAAGUUCGCCGUGUGUGUGUGUGUGUGUGAGUUAGUGCAUGGCUACGUGGGAGUGUUUGGAUGUUAUAAAACAGCGUUAGUAAAAAAAAAGUUGAAAACUUACGGUGUUUUUUCGUUUGCAGAAGCUGCUCCUGGAUGCCUUCGUUUGAGGUGCUGGUGCAUAGCCGUCGUGCUUUUAUGAUAGGCCAUUUCCACUUUACACAGCCAGCAAACGACUGAAUUGCUUCCUUUUCCGUUAAAAUAGUCCCAUACCUUUGAACUGCAAGUUCGGGUUGAGUGAUUUAAGUCGACUGCCCCGCUCUUGUUGCCACUACUCGCCACUGCCAUGUUUGUUUUUGAACGUGAUGACGCAUCGACGCAAAUUAUUUGCGUCGACGUAUUUUACGUGUCGACGUAAUCGAUUACGUUGACGCGUCGUCCCGGCCCUAACGUAGAUCUAUCAUGCCAUUCAAAUCCUAGAGUUUCACCGUCUGUUUCCUAUCAGAAGCUGAUACAGGAGAAAGGCGUAGAAGACUGUUUUCAUGUUCAGCCUGCAGUAUAAUCAGAAAUAAGAUUUUUAAAAAAUCCUUUUUUCAGUGUUCCACACCUUUAAUACGCUCAGCCUUGAGGCAUGUGGGAUGUUACUUUCAUCAGUCCACCUGGAUUUGGCACCUGCAUUCGGGGUGCCUCAACUGCAAAAGCUCAACAUUAACAAUAGACCACAGUUAAGCACAGAAGAAAUAAAACAAAUAGAAAUAUAACCCGAGACAAAACAAAUGCCCCCUAGUGGCUGGCUGCAGUGCAUGUCUAAAACUCCGCCCCCUCCAUGUUUACAAUUUUCUUCAUUAAAAUAUAAUCAUCAGAUAAAUAUUUUUAUGUUUAGAUAAUUAGAUAAUAUACAUUUAUGUGUUAUUAAUAAUUAAAAAAAUAGGUGAGUUGACCUUUUGACCUUUCAUCCAUCUCCAUACACUCCAUAGAGGAGACAGAAAUGACUUUUCCUUCAAACCUGCACAUUGGCGCCCCCUCUUGGACUUGAGUGGGAAACAUCGAUCCACAAAGCAAAGCCUCCAGUUUCAAAAUCCAUACACCUGUUUUAAAAUUUGCUUCAAUACUGUAAAAAGAAAAAUAUCUUGGAAAAUACCAGCUGCUAUUUACUGACACACUAGUGUUUUCAGUCUGAUUGAAACAUUAAACAACAAAAACUCGCUUGUUAGUAAGAAUGUUUCAGUUCAGGAAAAACUGCAAAUUUAAAAAGGAAAUUUCAUCUAACAAAAUAUUACAUUUCCUGUUAUUCAUUUGUUAUUAUUGUAGAUAUUUAUGUGCAUGGUAUUUGAACAAUAACAUCAUAUAGAGGUUUAAUAAGCUGUGAACCACUGGCUUCAUCGGCUAACUAUGAUGCUUACCUUGCUAACCAGCUGGUUUUCAUUAGGUUUGAAUGCUGAUCAUCAGAAAAUCCACCCCUCCAGGCUUCGAUGUUUGCCUCUUCAGUAACAACCAGCAUCUGGUGAUCAAGUCAGCAGCUGGAAAGGGUAGCACAGAUGUUGCAGGAAGAAGGAAAAAAACACUAAAUUAGAUUUUUAUAAAAAAUAGUUUUCUCUCAUCAGUCUCGUCCAGUCCAAGUAACUCCACUCCCUGGAGGAAAAAGUAGGUUGUUUUUGCUUUAUUUCCUGCUUUUUCCAAACAAUAACAAAGAACCUUUUCUCAAAAUGUUAUUUGUACAAACAUCUUCGUAAAAAAGCCCAAAAAACACUUAAAAUGUCAUUUUGAUGACAUCAUAGACAGCAAAUUGUUUAAAUACAUCAAUAUGUAGCGUUAAUAGAUCUGUGAACCGGGCCAAAAGACUGCCAGUGUUUUAAACCGAGAUCUUCCUGUAGCAGACUUACUGGAUGCUUUGUGGUUACGAGUAGGGAUGCACCGAUGGAUCGGCAUUUGAUCCCAAUCGGCCGAUAGCGCCCCUAUCGGUUUUGAUCGGAGUUUUCAAAAUAGAUCAAAGCAGACCGAUCAGACCAUUUUAGAUUAGGUUACAUUUCCUUCAUUCCCAGAUUAUGUAGUUUGUGGCACUCAUGUAGAAAAUUUCUGGCCAAUCUGGUGAUCAGCAUUCUUUGAUAAAGGUAUCGUGAUCGGCAGCAAAAAACCUGAUCGGUGCAUCCCUAGUUACGAGGGGCUCUUUG
ensembl:lncRNA